GGCUGGAGUUUUAAAAUCAAUGGACAAGCUGGAGCUCUUGAUCUCUCUUCGCUUCCUUCAAUUCCGGACAAGAAAAAGCUGACAGGUGCUGCAGCUCCUGAGAUAUUGAAAUGGACGGGGAUUUCACUUGCUAUAGUGGUUGGAUCAAUCGUUAUACUCGUCGUGGGUAUCUUUUCUUCAUUAGAUGGAGAACAUUUCGACUAGAAGCAAAGUUUAUGUUUGACUUAAUGAGUGAAGCAAAGGAGCUUGAGAUCGAUGGAAAGAAAGGCGCCAAU